GGCUCAGGAUGAACGCUGGCGGCGUGCCUAAUACAUGCAAGUCGAACGCUUUGUGGUUCAACUGAUUUGAAGAGCUUGCUCAGAUAUGACGAUGGACAUUGCAAAGAGUGGCGAACGGGUGAGUAACACGUGGGAAACCUACCUCUUAGCAGGGGAUAACAUUUGGAAACAGAUGCUAAUACCGUAUAACAAUAGCAACCGCAUGGUUGCUACUUAAAAGAUGGUUCUGCUAUCACUAAGAGAUGGUCCCGCGGUGCAUUAGUUAGUUGGUGAGGUAAUGGCUCACCAAGACGAUGAUGCAUAGCCGAGUUGAGAGACUGAUCGGCCACAAUGGGACUGAGACACGGCCCAUACUCCUACGGGAGGCAGCAGUAGGGAAUCUUCCACAAUGGGCGAAAGCCUGAUGGAGCAACGCCGCGUGUGUGAUGAAGGGUUUCGGCUCGUAAAACACUGUUGUAAGAGAAGAAUGACAUUGAGAGUAACUGUUCAAUGUGUGACGGUUCUACCAGA
rnacentral:rRNA from 1 species